rnacentral:rRNA from 1 species
GACUGAGACACGGCCCAGACUCCUACGGGAGGCAGCAGUGGGGAAUCUUGGACAAUGGGGGAAACCCUGAUCCAGCCAUGCCGCGUGAGCGAUGAAGGCCUUAGGGUUGUAAAGCUCUUUCACCGGUGAAGAUAAUGACGGUAGCCGGAGAAGAAGCCCCGGCUAACUCCGUGCCAGCAGCCGCGGUAAUACGGAGGGGGCUAGCGUUGUUCGGAAUUACUGGGCGUAAAGCGCGCGUAGGCGGGCUGUUAAGUCGGGGGUGAAAUCCCGGGGCUCAACCCCGGAACUGCCUUCGAUACUGGCAGCCUAGAGGACGGGAGAGGCCAGUGGAAUGGCGAGUGUACAGGUGAAAUUCGGAGAUAUUCGCCGGAACACCAGUGGCGAAGGCGACUGGCUGGCCCGUAUCUGACGCUGAGGUGCGAAAGCGUGGGGGAGCAAACAGGAUUAGAUACCCUGGUAGUCCACGCCGUAAACUAUGAGUGCUAGUCGUCAGAGGGCAUGCCCUGUGGUGACGCAGCUAACGCAUUAAGCACUCCGCUUGGGGAGUACGGCCGCAAGGGUUAAACUUCAAAGGAAUUGACGGGGGCCCGCACAAGCGGUGGAGCAUGUGGUUUUAAUUCGAAGCAACGCGCAGAACCUUACCACCUCUUGACAUGUCUGUCGCGGUCUCCCGAGAAGGGAGUCCUUCAGUUCGGCUGGACAGAACGCAGGUGCUGCAUGGCUGUCGUCAGCUCGUGUCGUGAGAUGUUGGGGUUAAGUCCCGCAACGAGCGCAACCCUCGCCGUUAGUUGCCAGCAUUCAGUUGGGCACUCUAAUGGAACCGCCGGUGAUAAGCCGGAGGAAGGUGGGGAUGACGUCAAGUCCUCAUGGCCCUUACGAGGUGGGCUACACACGUGCUACAAUGGCGGUGACAGUGGGUUAAUCCCAAAAAACCGUCUCAGUCCGGAUUGGGGUCUGCAACUCGACCCCAUGAAGUCGGAAUCGCUAGUAAUCGCGUAACAACAUGACGCGGUGAAUACGUUCCCGGGCAUUGUACACACCGCCCGUCACACCAUGGGAGUUGGUUUACCCGAAGACGGUG